rfam:Felis catus isolate Cinnamon breed Abyssinian chromosome X, whole genome shotgun sequence.
UGGCCCAUCGGGGCCUCGGAUACCUGCUUUUAUUAUU